rnacentral:lncRNA from 1 species
CUACACUUAAAAAGAUACGUAGGGAGUAAGAGUGUCAUUUUCAGGAUUCACAACCUUGCCGUCCGGCAGUCGUUGUUGCUGGUGUCUUCACCUGGUCAGUGACCUGCGGAUGAGGGCAAGUGAUUGGUGCGGUGACAGGACAUCGACAGCAUUUGCUGCUAGGACGAGACCUGAAUCGCUCGGUUAUUGGAUCCAUCAGGAUUAUAUACAAUGGAGU